rnacentral:rRNA from 1 species
UAAGGUCACGGCGAGACGAGCCGUUUUAUUAACAAUAGGUGUCAAGUGGAAGUGCAGUAAUGUAUGCAGCUGAGGCAUCCUAACAGACCGGUAGACUUGAAC